GAUGAACGCUGGCGGCGUGCCUAAUACAUGCAAGUCGAGCGAAUAGAGGAGGAGUUUGCUUCUCUGACGUUAGCGGCGGACGAGUGAGUAACACGUGUAUAACCUACCUAUAAGACUGGGAUAACUUCGGGAAACCGGAGAUAAUACCGGAUAAGAUAUUGAACCGCAGGGUUCUAUAGUGAAAGACGGUUUUGAUGUCCCUUAUAGAUAGAUCCUCGCCGCAUUAGCUAGUUGGUAAGGUAACGGCUUACCAAGGCAACGAUGCGUAGCCGACCUGAGAGGGUGAUCAGCCACACUGGAACUGAGACACGGUCCAGACUCCUACGGGAGGCAGCAGUAGGGAAUCUUCCGCAAUGGGCGAAAGCCUGACGGAGCAACGCCGCGUGAGUGAUGAAGGUCUUCGGAUCGUAAAACUCUGUUAUUAGGGAAGAACAAAAGUAUAAGUAAAUAUGCACGUCUUGACGGUACCUAAUCAAAAAGCCCCGGCUAACUACGUG
rnacentral:rRNA from 1 species